rnacentral:lncRNA from 1 species
ACAAUGGCUAACGAAGUCUGUGAAACUACAAUGAUCCAUAAGCAAUUUGAAAGAAGAAUAAUUGUUGCAACUUCCACAGGAAUGUUAAAAUGGCAUAAGAAUGUAAGGCAGUGAUGAAUCAGACCAAAUGCCCAUCUAAACCAGCAUCUUUUCUCUAUCAGUGGCCAUGGUGAUGCCUAAGGACAAAUAAAAAAAACAGCAAGCUUGUAUGAUAUGAUGAUUCACAAUCACAAAGUGAAUUGCUUUCAUUGCUUAAAGAUGCUCUGCUCAGGAUACAUCAUACUGAAGAUUACUCCUGCAGUCACACUGGUACCAAAAGAGGUACCUAUGCAUAGUCCCUCCUACUCCCUACUCCUUUUCUAAGGCCUGCAGGAAACUUUACACUCAGCAGACAGGUAUGCAU